rnacentral:rRNA from 1 species
AGAGUUUGAUCCUGGCUCAGGAUGAAUUUUAGCGGCCGGCUUAACACAUGCAAGUCGAGGGGCAUCGGGUGUAUCAAUACAUGCCUGCGACCGGCACCAGGGUGCGUAACACUUGAGCAAUCUGCCCCUAUCAUGGGGAUAAGCAAUGGAAACGUAAUCUAAUACCACAUAACACCAAUGAUGGCAUCAUCAAUGGUUGAAAGCUUCGGUGGAUACCGAUGAGCUCGCGAGAUAUUAUUUAAUUGGCGGGGUAACGGCCCACCAACACCCCGAUGUCUAGGGGAACUGAGAGGUUGGUCCCCCACACUGCAACUGAGACACUGACCAGACUCCUACCGGAGGCCAGCAUGAGGAAUAUUGGACAAUGGCCGGAAGGCUGAUCCACCCAUGCCGCGUGAAGGAAUAACGUCCCUAUGGAUUGUAAACUUCUUUUGUGCGAGAGCAAUAAGUAUCACGAGUGACAUGAUGAGAGUAUCGUAUGAAUAAGCAUCGGCUAACUCCGUGCCAGCAGCCGCGGUAAUACGGAGGAUCCGAGCGUUAUCCGGAUUUAUUGGGUUUAAAGGGUGCGUAGGCGGGAUUUUAAGUCAGCGGUGAAAUGCAACGGCUCAACCCUUGACCUGCGGUUGAAACUGGAGUUCUUGAAUGCGGAUGAUGUGGGAGGAAUUUGUGGUGUAGCGGUGAAAUGCAUAGAUAUCACACAGAACUCCGAUUGCGAAGGCAUCUCACAAAUCCGUGAUUGACGCUGAGGCUCGAAAGUGUGGGGAUCAAACAGGAUUAGAUACCCUGGUAGUCCACACUGUAAACGAUGAAAACUCGCUGUCGGCGAUACACAGUCGGUGGCCAAGAGAAAGCGUUAACUCUCCACCUGGGGACGCCCACGG